AAUGGAAGGUGGGACCAUGUAUCUAACCAGUAGCCACAUUGCAACAUGGAGGACUUCCCAAAAGGCGCUUCUUAUUUUAGGUAAGAAAGCUAGUUUAGAAGUUCAGCCUAAUGCUAUUUCAACGUGUUUUUGAUGAUCUAAUUUAUGUAAAGAUUUGCAAGUGGAUUUCUGUAAUGGUAGACUCAAUAAUUCCAGACAUAAAUCUUUUUCGGAUGCGAAGUCAUACCUUCCGGUUUCAUCUCACACAUUUAUUUUUUUGCCUUUAUUUAUUUAACUAGGCAGGUCAGUUAAGAACAAAUUCUUAUUUACAAUGACGGCCUACAAAAGGCCUCCUGUGGGGACGGGGGCUGGGAUUAAAAAUAAAAUACAAAUAUAGGACAUAACACAUCACGACAAAAGACAGACAACAGCACAACGGGCAAGAAAUUAGAGACAACAAUACAUCACGCGAAGCAGCCACAAAUGUCAAUAAGAGUGUCCAUGAUUGAGUCUUUGAAUGAAGAGAUUGAGAUAAAACUGUCCAGUUUGAGUGUUUCUUGCAGAUGGUUCCAGUCACAAACUGCAGCAAACUGAAAAGACGAUCGACCCAGGGAUUAUGUGCUUUGGGGACCUUUAACAGAAUGAGACUGGCAGAACGGGUGUAUGUGGAGUAUGAGGGCUGCAGUAGGUAUCUCAGAUAGGAGGGAGUGAGGCCUAAGUUUUAAACAAAACAAAAAAUAAGUAUCAACCAGUGGGUCUUGCAACGGGUAUACAGAGAUGACCAGUUUACAGAGUAGUUUAGAGUGCAGUGUGAUGUGUCAGAUAAGGAACGUUGGUGGCAAAUCUGAUGGACGAAAGGUAAAGAACAUCUCUCUAAUGUCACCCAUAUAGCAACUAAUGUCACACAUUACAUGCAUCCUAGCUACCGUACUGGCUUGCUAUAUUAGGCAGCUCUAGGUGCUAGCGGAAAAUAUAAAUAUAUUUGUUAUCUAUAAAGAUAAUUAAAGGCCAUUUAGGUAGUUAGCUAACUUAAACGCAAUAGGAUCAAGGUCAGGCUGUCUGGUCUGGUAUUGUCUCUGUUUCAGUGCAGCAUAAGCCUGUUGGAUGAGCCUAGCUAAAUUGAAACUGCUUGGGAAGAGAGAACUUCAAACAUUAGCUGAGGUCAUCAAUGUAGCUAGCUAAUGAUUUUAGAAAAUAAAAACAAUAUCUUUGCUACCUAUACUUUACUGACCUGCUACUGACUAUUGAACACUUUUUGCCAAAUAAGUUUGUUACUGUGUAUUGAUGAAUUGGUAACUGAAAAAGUAGUAUAUGUAGUAGUAUAUAAAGUAGUAUAUGUACACAUUAUUGUUUCAUUAGUUAGCUAAGUUACUGACUGAUUAGGUACAUUUUUAUUCCUGUUUUUGAUGUUAUUGCAUCUCAGGUGGAGAGGGAGUAAGAUCACUAGAGAGGAGCAUGCUGACAGAGCAGGAAUAAAUCUGUUGUUGCACAGCAGAGGUAUUACAGUCAAUGCAUAUGAACUGAAUAUUGUGUGUGAAUUGCACAUUUAUAUCAUUGACACGAAGAAAAGGGUUGUACAGCAACAUGAGCAGUAAAUGCUAACACGGCUUUGGUGAUGAAAGGUAUGUCAUGGAGGUGACAAUGUAUAUAUUAGAAGAUUCCCCAAUACAUUGCAUUAUAUGCCCAGAACAUAAUUCACCUGGUACGGGUGAAUAUAAGGUGCACACCUCUUUGCUGGAGCAGACCGGGACCAGUGUUGAAAUGGAACGAGAAGGCCUUUAUGGGAAUUGGGAGGGUCAACACUUCACCCUUUCCAAAAGCUAAGUACCUCGCCAUAUUCCAUUUCCAACAUUUCACCUGCUAGCACUGCCUGCUGACAUUCUCUACUGCUUUGUGUGCUACACACAGCCAGUACAGGAGUGCACCUACUGUGAACCAGAGAGGAGGCCUUUUGGGAUACUGGAAAGUACAACAGAACCCAGGAGAGGCCUGCUGCGAACACUGGCUUGGAUCCCUCAGAGCGUACCUGCAGUGGUGUGACCACGGAAGAGUCCUCAAGGACUUUUAAAAUAGGACUUUUCCAUUUGAUCUUUUUGGACUUGUCCACUUGGGACUUUUAGCUAUUGUUAAAUACAUAAUGUAGAACACCCUUCUGUCUCUGGUGUGUGUUUGGAAGGCCUACAUAUCUUGUAACCACUCAUUCAUACAAUCUGAUAUACAGUGGUGUGAAGUACUUAACUAAAAAAUACUUUAAAGUACUUACUUAUGUCAUUUUUGGGGGGUAUCUGUACUUUACUUUACUAUUUAUAUUUUUGACUACUUGACUACUACUUUUACUCCACUACAUUCCUAAAGAAAAUAAUGUACUUUCUACUCCAUACAUUUUCCCUGACACUUUCACACUCUUAAAGAGAAGAGAAAAUCCCUGGUCAUCCCUACUGCAUCUGAUCUGGCAGACUCACUAAACACAAAUGCUUUGUUUGUAAAUUAUGUCUGAGUGUUGGACUGUGCCCCUGGCAAUCCUUAAAUUUAAAACACUUAAGUAUAUUUUUGCAAUUAAAUUGACUUUUGAUACCUAAGUAUAUUUAAAACCAAAAACUUUUGGACUUUUACUCCAGUAGAAUUUUACUGGGUGACUUUCACUUUUACUUGAGUCAUUUUCUAUUAAGACAUCUUUACUUUUACUAUGACAAGUGGGUACUUUUUCCACCACUGCUGAUACAAAUGCAAGCACUGACUUAUAUUCACUUGUCUAUUGUCCCAUUCUUCAAUCUGGUCUUUCAUAUACAUAUUUUAGUUGUUACACCUGUGUGAUGUGUCUGAUAUAAAUGAAUAAAAAUCUAUUCACCCUGUA